AAAACUCAGUUAAAACCAUUGCUGUAUUAUGAUCAAAAGAUCUAAAUAAAUGAAAUGUCUUGUAAAAUACGUUUGAUAUUCUAUAUUAUACUGAUUCUGAUAUGACUACUGUGACAGAAUUAUGAUUGUACUGUUUGAUCUGACUGUCUGUACUUCUUUCUUCUUUACAUGUAAGACAAAAUGGUGCCCACUUACUUCAAUAGGGAGAGCGCAGAUCUAUGGAUGGGGGGUCAUGAGUCCAAUCCUCAGGCGAGCAGAAUGUUCUCCUUGAUGAUUUGAUAAAAGUCAUAGUGUCUGAAAUCAUUUGAUUCAUGUGGGAAUUAUGCCAAUGUAAGAAGAUUAAGAAGUAAUUAGACUCAAUAAAAAUUUGAGGUCCAGUGGUAACACUGUCCGUGUAUGAGUACACAUCCAGGAAUUGUGAUUCUGAUCCGCCUGCUCAUCCAUCAGACAUUGGAAUAAAAGUCCUGUGUAUGGGUGCUGCCUGGCAUACUAAAGACUCAGGGAAACUUCUAGAAUUGGAGCAUCUUCUGUAUCUUGCGCUGUCCUCCCACUAGAAUUACUAACAGUCGCCCAUACCUAUGGCAACCAUGAUCAAUUUAUAUCCAGCG